rnacentral:miRNA from 1 species
CUCAGGACCAGGUGCCUUCUCC